rnacentral:rRNA from 1 species
UACAUGGGGUGCAAACGUUGCUCGGAAUUAUUGGGCGUAAAGCGCACGUAGGUGGUCUGUUAUGUCAGAUGUGAAAGCCCUCGGCUUAACUGAGGAAGUGCACCUGAAACUGGCAGGCUUGAGUACGAAAGAGGGUCGCGGAAUUCCCGGUGUAGAGGUGAAAUGCGUAGAUAUCAGGAGGAACACCUGUGGUGUAGACAGCUUACUGGACCAUUUCUGACGCUGAGACACGAAAGCGUGGGUAGCAAACAGG